UUUAGCUUAUUUUAAGCUAGAUUUAGCAUAUUUUAAAAUGAAAUAGCUUGAAAAAUACUUGAAAUGCAUAUAGCUUAAAAUCUGGCUUAUUUCAAAUUUAAUUUAGCUAAUUUUGGCUUAAAAAAAUUGUAUUAUAAUUUUUGGUAAUUUUUAUCGAUAAUUUGGACAAAAGCAUAUUUUGUUGUUGGUAUUUUAAUAAUAAUCGUUAGCAAGUCUCGGUCACACUGAAAUUUUGCACACGUUUGAUUUGCGAUUGUUGUUGCGUCGUUUUAGAAACAUGCCGAAAGUGACUUACAAACAGAAUUUCCGCGAUUCUUGGUUAAAUUUCGAAGAAUUGCCAAAGUGCCAACUGACUCCACAAAAGCGUACUGCUGCUUUUGUAAGGUGUCGAUUGGGGCCAAGUUAUUUGAGUAUGAACAUUGUUAAAUCAAAAAUGCGCAACAAAAUGUCUUUAAAAAGCUUAAACGCAAUUUUAAGAAUAAGAUAUGGACUGCGACGUCAUGGAAAAUGUUGCCAUGAGUACCAACUGCCAACAAAAUACCUCGCUUUAAUACAAUCUUCGGCAAAAUAUAAUGAAUCUAAUGAGGAAGUUGAUAAAAUUAUUUCUUUAAUUUAAUAGUUAUAUAAAUAUCGUAUUAUUAAAAGUAAAAAAAUCAACUA